UAAAAACAAUUCAUUGUAGGCGACCACUGUGUUUUUGCAUAUCAUCAUCAUCUAUCAACAAUUGCGAUUUGUUCUGUAGAGAGUAGAACUAGACAGCUUGGAGACGUCUUCUGAGUUUCUUGGUUUCCUAAGAAUCCAGACCUUACUCUUCCUGAUCUUAACUAUGAUUGCAACAGGUUGGAGUCAUCGAUAGCGUCGAGAUUAUACAGAUUCAUCACUAGAAGCAUCACCCACUAAUUACAACAAUUCCCUUGAGUAGCUGGAUCAGGCUGUGAACAAAGAGAUGCUUCCACUGUCGUCAAGUUGUAGAAUGCAAUAAAGUUAAACGGUGGAGGUGUUUUGGUUUUUUGAUCUUGGCUCUGUUGUGUUCGGUUUGUUGGUUUGUGUUUGGUUGGAUCUCACAUCUCAGAAUAGGUAAAUAGAAAAGUUACAGUCUUUUGAUCAAUCAAGUUGACCUAAAGAAGUUUAGUUGUUAAGGUAGUCGAGUUAGUUGAGAAAUAUGGUUUUGAUAAUCCGUUGUAGUGAGAUUACCAGAAGGAUUCUCCUUUAGAGUGGAUUCGAAGUUUGAUUAGUGAUGAAAGCUGGUUUAGGAGGUGCUUAAGGCUGUUGAGUCUUGAGCUGAGAAAAAAUAUAUAUGAUUGACAGUUUAAGGAAACCCAAGAAAAAAACGAGCUAAAGUUUUGGUUUUUUUCUUUGUUCUUGAUGUUUCUCCAAGAAGCAAUAGAGAAUGAGUGUUUUUUUUGUGUGCUAGAGAAUGAAAGUCAUUAACUUUAUUACUAAUGUACAGUCAUGUGCACCGCUUAUUUUUGGAAGAACUUGCUGCUGUCAACGUGAGUUUGUAGUGUCUUUAUAUAUCUUUCCAAUUAUUGUUCUGUGCUUAAUGGUGUGUGUUGUAACAUAUUACAGCAAGUUUGUGAAAAAAAAUUUGGCUCUCUAGAAGAUUUGCUGAAAAAAUAGGUGAAAGUACUGUUCAAGAAAGGUUCAUGAUGCCUAUUAGUAUUUAAAAUUUUAGGAUAGUAAGGAGUCUAUCUCAGUAUGGAAAACUUAAAAAAAAAUUGAAAACCAAUUUUGUUUGAACUCUUAUAUACAGCUUUGUAGUGGGUUGUUGCCCAAAGCUAGACAUGAGCUCCUCAAGGAUUGACAAGCAGGCUCUCUGUUUGAGCAAGCUCGCAAAAACAUAUGCAGUUCCAGAUACAACGGCCUACUGCUUAAAAGUUUCUCGCAGAUUGUUUCAUAUGGGAAGUUUUUUCAACAAAAAGGAUCUACAGAAAGUCAUGCAUGCAACAGAUCAGUAGGCUCAAAAGAUUAAAGUAAUUGUAAAUCAUUUGUUAAUAACAUAUGUACUAGGUGUUUUGCCCGCCCUUGCGGG
rnacentral:lncRNA from 1 species